CAGUGUCUGGUGGGUAGUUUGACUGGGGCGGUCUCCUCCUAAAGAGUAACGGAGGAGCACGAAGGUUGGCUAAUCCUGGUCGGACAUCAGGAGGUUAGUGCAAUGGCAUAAGCCAGCUUGACUGCGAGCGUGACGGCGCGAGCAGGUGCGAAAGCAGGUCAUAGUGAUCCGGUGGUUCUGAAUGGAAGGGCCAUCGCUCAACGGAUAAAAGGUACUCCGGGGAUAACAGGCUGAUACCGCCCAAGAGUUCAUAUCGACGGCGGUGUUUGGCACCUCGAUGUCGGCUCAUCACAUCCUGGGGCUGAAGUAGGUCCCAAGGGUAUGGCUGUUCGCCAUUUAAAGUGGUACGCGAGCUGGGUUUAGAACGUCGUGAGACAGUUCGGUCCCUAUCUGCCGUGGGCGCUGGAGAACUGAGGGGGGCUGCUCCUAGUACGAGAGGACCGGAGUGGACGCAUCACUGGUGUUCGGGUUGUCAUGCCAAUGGCACUGCCCGGUAGCUAAAUGCGGAAGAGAUAAGUGCUGAAAGCAUCUAAGCACGAAACUUGCCCCGAGAUGAGUUCUCCCUGAG
rnacentral:rRNA from 1 species